CGGCGCCGCUGCUGCCGGGGCCUCCCGGAGGAGCGGACAGGUGUGGCGCGAGGCCCCGGCGCCCUCGGAGACCUACGGGAGGGAACGGGCGCCGCGGCCCGGCGCCACGGGGGAAGCCGCCCCGUCCCGCGCCUGGGUGGACAGGAGCUGGGCGGCCCUCGCAGGCAGUGGAGGCGGAGGGGGCCUUGCCGCUUACCGAGGUCAGCAGGCCUCGGGCUGGGGUUCUGGAUCCUCCCCGGGUGCCCCCUGGCUGUGCGCCCGGCGCCGGGGACCCCUGAGAACCAUUCUGGGCUCCAGCCGCCUCCGUGGCGUGGGCGACAUUAGAAGAGCUGCCGCCGCGGUCUCUGUGCAGCGACCUCCACGCAACAUAGUGCGUCGGCCGCAUCCUCUCACCUUGCCCGCGCCCUCCCUGGGGACGGAAAGAGAUUCCUCCUCAGAAAAGAAAGUGGGGUGGGGGCAGGUGUUUACUUAGGAGGCUUCCUCCCGGCUGGGUGGGCAGACAGAAGACAGACACGUUUUUAUUCGCUCUCCGCACACAAAGUGCCAUAGCCAGCUUUGGUAGACCUCUCCUUCCCCUCCCAGCCACAGCUCCGUGGAUGUCACUGUGCCACCUUCAAGGCAGGAAACAGACCUUUCGCUUGGGCACAGGGGUCUAGAGCUGGGGCGGGAUCCCUGAGCGCCCUCCUAACUCAGGGCAGUGGGGAAGCUGCGCCCUGGGGAGGCACCUGCAGCCCCUCCAGAGCAGGAGAAUGGAGGCUGCCGGAGCCUCUGGCUGCACCGAGGACCCUGCCUCUGCCUUGGCCUCCUGCCCCAGUGGUCGUGAGCAGCGUCCUGCCCGGUCCCCAGCUGAGCAAUGAGCUGCCCGCUAGAAAGUUACGACGCAGCAGCCUGCUCUGCCAGGCUCCAGUGGAGGCAGUGGGACACCAGCCUGGGGACUUGAGACCCCCUUGGCUGUCACCUCCACCUCAAAACCUAAGGUGCUCCAGAGGCUGGUCUUGGCCGGGGUCACUCCAUGCAGGAUAAGGCAGAUGGUGACAAACAAAAGCACCUGUGGGCCAGCUGUGCACCCAUUUCCCUGAUGAGGGAGACUGAGAGUCAGAGGCGCUAGCAGCAAAAGAGCCAAGAGUGAGCUCUGGUCCUUGGCAAAUCCACACCCGCCAUCCUCCUGUUAUCAAGCUGGGAUAAAGGCCAUGCAUGGGACUGGCCAGAGGCGGCAACAUCAGACACAGGUCCUCCUUACGAAGGUGGCCCCCCGCCCCCGCGCUGGGGAGCUUCCUCUAGGAACCUGUUAUCCCAAGUCCCAGGCCGGGACAUGCAGCUUCAAGCCGGAUGGCAUGACUGCAAAGUGUGCGCCUCGCGGUCCUGGCUCUGAGCCAUUUCCCGGAGGGGCGAUCCUGGGCGAGGCCCGUGACCUCUCUGUGUGCCUCCAUUUCCUCUUCUUUAAAGCCGGGCAAUGACCGUGCCUGCAUCAGAGGGCCGCUGUGGGAUUACGGGAGCCCAUGCGUGAACAUGCCCCGUGCUGCAGGGACAGCCGUUCUGAUCGCCAAGGAAAUGGCAGGGCCGGGGGUGGGGGGGUGCCUGCUGUAAACACUGGCAUUGCUGGAAUGAGAAUUAGCCUGCACCAAAGCGAGUUCCUGUUUGGUUUAUUCCACACCCCUGGCAGAAGCCAAGAGCCUUCUCUGGAACUCGCCUGUCCCUCGCUGUCUCUGCCUUCCCCCAAACCUCUCCUUUCAAGCCUAGACAACCCCCCCAGACGCUUGGUAUUCACACCUCAUCCCCCUUUGGACUCAGACAGCCUGGCUCUGCCCUUGGACCGCCGCCCCUGAGAGGCCAGCCUUACCUUCUGCACCUCGGACUCCCCCACGCAGGGUUUUCAGCUCUCACACCUGGGAAGGGGUCCCCGGGAUGGCAGGUCCUUGGAGCCACUCAGCACUGGGCCUCUGUUUCCAGGCUGCCUGCACCCAACCCAGUGAACCAGAGGCCGGACCCGUAGGAGGGGAGAGGAGGUGGGCGAACAGUAGCAGGUCAGAUUCCACCUCACACCCACUAGGAUGGCUGAGAUCAAAACAUGGAAAACAAGUGUUGGCGAGAAUGUGGAGAAAUUGGAACCGUGUGUUGCUGGCAGGAACAUCAAAUGGCGCAACCGCUGUGGAGAGAGUUUGGUGGCUCCUCAGUCAGUUCCGUGUUGAAGGAUCACGUGACCCAGCAAUUCCACUCCCAGGCAUGGCCCCAAAAGAGAUGAAAACAGGUGGUCAAACAAAAGCUUGCUCGUGAUGGUUCACAGCAGCAAUACUCACUCUAGCCAAAAAGGUGGAACCCACCCAAAUGUCCCUUAGGAGCAAAAUGGAUAAAGAAAAAUGUGGUUCUUCCAUAUAAUGGACUAUAAUAAAGCCAUAAAAAGGACACACACUACAGCACAGAGGAAUCUUAAAAACAUGAAGGAGAGGAAAGUAAGUGAGACACAAAAGGCCACCUAUUGUGUGAUUGCGUUUACAUGAAAUAUCCAGCACAGGCAAAUCUCUAGAGACAGACAGAGAUUGGUGGUUGCCAGGAGACAGAGAAGAAUAGGGAGCAGCUGCUAAUGAAUCCAGCUUUUCUGUCUUUCUUUCUUCUUGCUUUUGUCUCUUUAGGGCCACACCUGUGGCACAUGGAACUUUCCAGGCUAGGGGAUGAAUUGGAGCUCCAGCUGCUGGCUUACGCCACCGCCACGGCAACGCGGGAUCUGAGCCGAGUCUGUGACCUACGUCACAGCUCACAGCGACGCCAGAUCCUUAACCCACUGAGCAAGGCCAGGGAUUGAACCCGCGUCCUCACGGAUGCUAGCCAGAUUUGUUUUCACGGAGACACACGGGAACUCCUGAGCCACAACGGGAACUCCCAGCAUUUCUUUCUUUCUUUCUUUCUUUUUUUUUUUUCUUUUGUCUUUUUGCCUUUUCUAGGGUCACUGCUGCAGCAUAUGGAGGUUCCCAGGCUAGGGGUCGAAUCGGAGCUGUAGCCACCAGCCUACGCCAGAGCCACAGCAAUGUGGGAUCCAAGCCACGUCUGUGACCUACACUACAGCUCACAGCAAUGCUAGAUCCUUCACCCCCUGAGCAAGGCCAGGGAUCGAACCCGCAACCUCAUGGUUCCUAGUCGGAUUCGUUAACCACUGCGCCACAACAGGAACUCCCCAGCAUUUCUUUUCGGGUUGAUGAAAGUGUUCUUCUGUCGUGUUGAUGGUUGUGUUUUUUGCAUGUACUAAGUGGAAUCGUACACUUUAAAGAGGUUUUGCAUUAUAAAUUUUAC
rnacentral:lncRNA from 1 species